ensembl:lncRNA
AGACAUCCCUCGUCCCUGGGAAACUGGAGGUACACACACACACACAGUAGGACUAGACAUCCCUCUUCCCUGGGAAACUGGAGGUACACACACACACACACAGUAGGACUAGACAUCCCUCUUCCCUGGGAAACUGGAGGUACACACACACACACAGUAGGACUAGACAUCCCUCGUCCCUGGGAAACUGGAGGUACACACACACACACACACACAGUAGGACUAGACAUCCCUCGUCCCUGGGAAACUGGAGGUACACACACACACAGUAGGACUAGACAUCCCUCUUCCCUGGGAAACUGGAGGUACACACACACACAGUAGGACUAGACAUCCCUCUU